UGGGGAAUUUUGGACAAUGGGCGAAAGCCUGAUCCAGCAAUGCCGCGUGUGUGAAGAAGGCCUUCGGGUUGUAAAGCACUUUUGUCCGGAAAGAAAUCCUUGGCUCUAAUACAGUCGGGGGAUGACGGUACCGGAAGAAUAAGCACCGGCUAACUACGUGCCAGCAGCCGCGGUAAUACGUAGGGUGCAAGCGUUAAUCGGAAUUACUGGGCGUAAAGCGUGCGCAGGCGGUUUGCUAAGACCGAUGUGAAAUCCCCGGGCUCAACCUGGGAACUGCAUUGGUGACUGGCAGGCUAGAGUAUGGCAGAGGGGGGUAGAAUUCCACGUGUAGCAGUGAAAUGCGUAGAGAUGUGGAGGAAUACCGAUGGCGAAGGCAGCCCCCUGGGCCAAAUACUGACGCUCAUGCACGAAAGCGUGGGGAGCAAAACAGGAUUAGAUACCCUGGUAGUCCACGCCCUAAAACGAUGUCAACUAGUUGUUGGGGAUUCAUUUCCUUAGUAACGUAGCUAACGCGUGAAGUUGACCGCCUGGGGAGUACGGUCGCAAGAUUAAAACUCAAAUGAAUUGACGGGGUCAUAGCUGUUUCCU
rnacentral:rRNA from 1 species